rnacentral:rRNA from 1 species
ACACAUGCAAGUCGAACGAAGUAGCAAUACUUAGUGGCAGACGGGUGAGUAACAUGUAGGUAUCUGCCCUUUGGCCUGGAAUAACACGAGGAAACUUGUGCUAAUACCGGAUAAGUCUUUACGGAGAAAGCUUUAUGCACCAUUGGAUGAGCCUGCACUUGAUUAGUUUGUUGGUGGGGUAAUGGCCUACCAAGACUGUGAUCAAUAGCUGAUUUGAGAGGAUGAUCAGCCACAUUGGGACUGAGACACGGCCCAAACUCCUACGGGAGGCAGCAGUGGGGAAUCUUGCACAAUGGAGGAAACUCUGAUGCAGCGAUGCCGCGUGAGUGAAGAAGGCCCUUGGGUUGUAAAGCUCUUUCGUCGGGGAAGAAAAUGACUGUACCCGAAUAAGAAGGUCCGGC